AGUGAGGAGGUGGUUCUUGCCCGUGUUGUGUGUGUGUGUGAGUGAGAGAGCGAGUGAGUGAGUGAGUGAGUGUGUGUGUGGGGGGGACUCGGCUUGUUGUUGUCGGUGACUUCCCCCUCCCCUUCACCCCUUCCCCUCCCCGCCGCCGCUGCAGUGGCCGCUCCCUGGGCCGUAGGAAAUGAGCGAUAACGAUGACAUCGAGGUGGAGAGCGACGCUGACAAACGGGCUCAUCAUAAUGCACUGGAACGAAAACGUAGGGACCACAUCAAAGACAGCUUUCACAGUUUGCGGGACUCAGUCCCAUCACUCCAAGGAGAGAAGGUGAG
rnacentral:ncRNA from 2 species